GAUGAACGCUGGCGGCGUGCUUAACACAUGCAAGUCGAACGAUGAAGCUGGAGCUUGCUCUGGUGGAUUAGUGGCGAACGGGUGAGUAACACGUGAGCAACCUGCCCCUGACUCUGGGAUAACAGCCGGAAACGGCUGCUAAUACCGGAUAUGCACCAUGAACGCAUGUUCUGUGGUGGGAAAGAUUUUUCGGUUGGGGAUGGGCUCGCGGCCCAUCAGCUUGUUGGUGAGGUAAUGGCUCACCAAGGCGUCGACGGGUAGCCGGCCUGAGAGGGUGACCGGCCACACUGGGACUGAGACACGGCCCAGACUCCUACGGGAGGCAGCAGUGGGGAAUAUUGCACAAUGGGCGAAAGCCUGAUGCAGCAACGCCGCGUGAGGGAUGACGGCCUUCGGGUUGUAAACCUCUUUUAGCAGGGAAGAAGCGAGAGUGACGGUACCUGCAGAAAAAGCGCCGGCUAACUACGUGCCAGCCGCCGCAGUAA
rnacentral:rRNA from 1 species